rfam:Zea mays cultivar B73 chromosome 3, whole genome shotgun sequence.
GCACUAGAUGAUGAAGAACUGGCUGCACAUAUCUGUAAUGGGCUUGAUGCCGAUUACAAUUCUGUGGUGACAUCAGUCACCGCUAGGACUGAUCCCAUAUUGAUUCCUGAGCUUUAUGCUCAACUGCUCAGUUUUGAGA